rnacentral:rRNA from 1 species
UACGUAGGUGGCAAGCGUUGUCCGGAAUCAUUGGGCGUAAAGAGCGCGUAGGUGGCUUGUCAGGUCUGAUGUGAAAUUUCGGGGCUCAACCCCGAACCUGCAUCGGAAACCGGCUUGCUAGAGUCUGGGAGAGGAGAGUGGAAUUCCUGGUGUAGCGGUGAAAUGCGUAGAUAUCAGGAGGAACACCGGUAGCGAAGGCGGCUCUCUGGAACAGUACUGACGCUGAGGCGCGAAAGCUAGGGGAGCGAACAGG